rnacentral:rRNA from 1 species
GUAGGUGGCAAGCGUUGUCCGGAAUUAUUGGGCGUAAAGCGCGCGCAGGCGGGUUCUUUAAGUCUGAUGUGAAAGCCCACGGGCUCAACCGUGGAGGGUCAUUGGAAACUGGAGAACUUGAGUACAGAAGAGGAAAGCGGAAUUCCACGUGUAGCGGUGAAAUGCGUAGAGAUGUGGAGGAACACCAGUGGCGAAGGCGGCUUUCUGGUCUGUAACUGACGCUGAGGCGCGAAAGCGUGGGGAGCAAACAGGAUUAGAUACCCUGGUAGUCCACGCCGUAAACGUUGAGUGCUAAGUGUUAGGGGGUUUCCGCCCCUUAGUGCUGCAGCUAACGCAUUAAGCACUCCGCCUGGGGAGUACGGCCGCAAGGCUG